rnacentral:rRNA from 1 species
CUGCCUGGUAGUGGGGGAUAACGUCCGGAAACGGACGCUAAUACCGCAUACGUCCUACGGGAGAAAGCAGGGGACCUUCGGGCCUUGCGCUAUCAGAUGAGCCUAGGUCGGAUUAGCUAGUUGGUGGGGUAAUGGCUCACCAAGGCGACGAUCCGUAACUGGUCUGAGAGGAUGAUCAGUCACACUGGAACUGAGACACGGUCCAGACUCCUACGGGAGGCAGCAGUGGGGAAUAUUGGACAAUGGGCGAAAGCCUGAUCCAGCCAUGCCGCGUGUGUGAAGAAGGUCUUCGGAUUGUAAAGCACUUUAAGUUGGGAGGAAGGGCAGUAAAUUAAUACUUUGCUGUUUUGACGUUACCGACAGAAUAAGCACCGGCUAACUCUGUGCCAGCAGCCGCGGUAAUACAGAGGGUGCAAGCGUUAAUCGGAAUUACUGGGCGUAAAGCGCGCGUAGGUGGUUCGUUAAGUUGGAUGUGAAAUCCCCGGGCUCAAUCCUGGGAACUGCAUUCAAAACUUGACGAGCUAGAGUAUGGUAGAGGGUGGUGGAAUUUCCUGUGUAGCGGUGAAAUGCGUAUAUAUAGGAAGG